CCUACGGGAGGCAGCAGUGGGGAAUAUUGCACAAUGGGGGAAACCCUGAUGCAGCGACGCCGCGUGAGUGAAGAAGUAAUUCGUUAUGUAAAGCUCUAUCAGCAGGGAAGAAAAUGACGGUACCUGAGUAAGAAGCCGCGGCUAACUACGUGACAGCAUCCGCGGCAACAGGGAGGGGGCAGGCGUUAUCCGGAUUUACCGGGUGUAAAGGGAGCGUAGACGGCAGUGCAAGUGUGGAGUGAAAGGCGGGGGCUCAACCCCCGGACUGCUCUGGAAACUGUACGGCUGGAGUGCAGGAGAGGUAGGUGGAAUGCCUGGUGUAGCGGUGAAAUGCGUAGAUAUU
rnacentral:rRNA from 1 species